rnacentral:tRNA from 1 species
GCGGUCAUGCUGGAAUUGGUAGACAGGCAUGACUAAGGAUCAUGUGUCAACCGACGUAAGGGUUCAAGUCCCUUUGACCGCACCA